rnacentral:rRNA from 1 species
AACGAACGCUGGCGGCAUGCCUAACACAUGCAAGUCGAACGAAGGCUUCGGCCUUAGUGGCGCACGGGUGCGUAACGCGUGGGAAUCUGCCCUUGGGUUCGGAAUAACAGCUGGAAACGGCUGCUAAUACCGGAUGAUGUCGAAAGGCCAAAGAGUUACCGCCAGAGGAUGAGCCCGCGUUGGAUUAGGUAGUUGGUGGGGUAAAGGCCGACCAAGCCGACGAUCCAGAGCUGGUCUGAGAGGAUGCUCAGCCACACUGGGACUGAGGCCCGGCCCAGACUGCUACGGGAGGGAGCAGUGGGGAAUAUUGGAGGAUGGGCGCAAGCCUGGCCAAGCAGUGCCGCGUGAGUGAUGAAGGCGGUAGGGUUGUAAAGCUCUUUUACCCGGGAAGAUAAUGACUGUACCGGGAGAAUAAGCCCCGGCUAACUCCGUG